UGUAAUGGUCCCUGUGGGCCUCUACUGGUAAUCUGUUGCCUUCGAUUGGUGUCAUGUUAUGUCUAGUGGACAUCAUUAAGGACCAAUAGUGUUAAUGGUUUUACUGGUUAGUUGAAGGUUUGUCAUUUUAUUUGUAGUGGAAACUAUUGGAGUUUCUGUGAUGUUUUUUCAGGGUUUAUUGGGGGAAACUUUCAUUUUUUACUCUCACCAGUGCUGUGUUUUUGACCUGCAGUCUCUUUAGGUCACUUUUAUUUAUAUAGCACUGUCAAAAAUGUCUGUUUAAUAAAAAUCAGAUUUCAAACAGCAACUAGAAGGUUAAAGAUGUUGAACGAACUUCAUUCUUGGCUUGACAGAGCCCGCUAAACAAUAUUCCAGGUGGUUUCUAGAGUGUUGCUAAGCGGUUGCUAUGGUAUUCCAGGUGGUUUCUAGAGUGUUGCUAAGCGGUUGCUAUGGUAUUCCAGGUGGUUUCUAGAGUGUUGCUAAGCGGUUGCUAUGGUAUUCCAGGUGGUUUCUAGAGCAUUGCUAGGUGGUUGCUAUGGUAUUCCAGGUGGUUUCUAGAGUGU
ensembl:lncRNA